rnacentral:rRNA from 1 species
UACGUAGGGGGCAAGCGUUGUCCGGAUUUAUUGGGCGUAAAGAGCUCGUAGGCGGCUCAGUAAGUCGGGUGUGAAACCUCCAGGCUCAACCUGGAGACGCCACCCGAUACUGCUGUGGCUUGAGUCCGGUAGGGGAGCGUGGAAUUCCUGGUGUAGCGGUGAAAUGCGCAGAUAUCAGGAGGAACACCAGCGGCGAAGGCGGCGCUCUGGGCCGGAACUGACGCUGAGGAGCGAAAGCGUGGGUAGCAAACAGG